AUUUUUUAAUAAAACAAUUCAAAGCCUUGCAGUUUUUACUCAAUAAUCAAAUUUUAUAUACAUAGAAUUGGGGGUUGCCUAAGAUCAACAGAAGUUUACGUAAAAAUGAUAUAUCUAGAUAAUUAAAAUGACUAUUGAGGUAGACAUUUUUGGUUGACAUAUCUGAAACCUAUUCUUGAUACUCUCUCUUUGGUUGUGUUUUUCAGCCACCUUUCCUGCUCUAGUCAGACAUGUGUCAUGUCAGACUUCUGGCUUAUGAAAUGAAUUAGCGACACAUGUGAUGCAUAUAAGAAGGAGACAAAACACUUUUUAUAAUUCAAGGAUCCCCUGCUGAAUGACCAAAUGAAUGAUGCUCUUCCCCUCUCUAAGUGCACAGAAUGUAGAGUCUGUCCCUGGACUAAGACACUGUAUCUGCUUUGGUGAAUAAAUAUCAUCUGCUCUGCCCUGGAUUCUCAGCAAAUGACAUAAAUGAGCAAG
rnacentral:lncRNA from 1 species